GGAGGCCUGCCCAGACCCCAGACCCGGCUCUCGGCUCAGACCGCGGUGUUGACUCGGGACCCCGACCCCGGCCCCUUUCCAGGCCCCACCCCAAACCCAGACCGACUCCCCACCUCCACCCCAGUCCCUACCCAUCCCCCGCUCUUACCCCGGACCGCGGCCCACCCCUCGCCCGUGUUGUUGCUUGCAUGGCUGCUGGUCGGGCCGGCCCUGCCAGGCCCCACCUGGUGUCUGGGGUCCUGGGCGGAGGCGAGCCCAGCCAGGGAUUCGUGUUCUUAGCAGAGCCCCUGUUGGUGAGUGAGUAGGAGCCGCUCAGCUCUUCAGAGGGGUCCUAGCCCAGGGCUCCGGGGUGGGGCUGCAGCCGGCUCCGGCAGCCUCACCGAAAAGUACAGCAGAACCUCCCAGAGCCACUGUGUCCUCAUCUGAGAGACGGAGGUCAUGGUGUUUACCUUCAGUGGACCUAAGGUGUGGGGCGCAUCCUAGUGCUUAUUAAAUUCUGUGAUAGCAUUAGUACCAAAGACAGGAGGAGAAUAAAUAGAAUUGGUUAACCUGGCCGUGCCUUAGAACGGAAGUGUUAGAAAAUAAAGCGUGCUCCUGCUUCCUGCAAACCCCAGCUCAUUACCCUCACCGUGUAAUCAUCAUCAUAAUGAAAAGAGUGGCGGUUUUUGACAUGAAUCUCGUGUUACUUGGAUUAAUUCAGGCGCUGAUGAAUUUUUUUCCUUCUCUAUGUUUAAAACUGAUAAUCAUGUUUUUCCCUUUGAAAUGAAAAGAUAAUGGCAAACUAUAGUUAUAAAACAAUUGCUUAAAAAGAAAAAAUUUCUCAGUGAGGCAGAAUGUGGAGAAAAAUAUGGUCUCAAGUCUUCCUUUUCAGGGACACACUGCACGUGGGCUUCCCCCUCUCCUUCAGGACCAGGGAAUUGUCACCUGAUCAGCUCACAGGUUAAAAAUGACCUAAGAGUUUUUAAGCAGUCACAUGCUAGGCUCUAAAAUGGACAUUCACGUAUGUUAAUGAGCACCAGAAAUACCUUGUUCAUGACCCUCUCCUGGAAGCAGGGCUGGCAGGCUGUGAAUUCAGUGUCGAGGUUCUUAGGAGCAGACCUGACGGUCAGCUGCCUGCAAAGCUGUGCCUGCCUUCUUGGUGGGGGGCUUCUUGCUACUGCAGGUUUUCUCCUUGUUUUAAACCACAACACACUCUUCUCUUACAUUCCUUCAAAUGUUUGCACUCUUCUAAGCCUGGAAUAAAUGCUCUUCUCUAUGCAAGAAAUUAUUAUAGCAUCUGUAAUGUACCUAAUCAACUUAAAAAAAAAACCUUUCUCCAUUCACCAAAUUAAAGUGAAUGAAAGCUGUUAAUUGUUUUAGUCAUUCACUAAUCACCUUCCCUCGAAACAGCCUUUUUUUCCUAUUGGAUAUGUGACAGAAUGGUCAAGUAAAUUUACGUUGUUUAAGGACAUUGUGGUUGGAAGGAUAGAUUAAUAAAUCCCAAAAGUUUAUAAAAUGUAGGUGGGAAAGAAAAUAUUAGUUUUCUGUGUGUCUUCCUCAAGAUCACCUGAAGAGCCCAUCGGCUGAGUGGCACUUAGGCUCUGAGAGGCACUGAAGGGAGGAUUUAGCUGGAAUAAAACUUCCCAGCAUUUGUGACCUGAUGGAGCAGGAAACUGGAGUGUGUGUCUUCUUCAGAGCAUUUCCCUUCUGCGUGGCUUGCAACGAGUGAAGUUAGGGGAAGGUGCCGCAGGAGGAGGGGAUGGAGCUUGGCGUGUCCCCUUGCAGGGAUGUCUGUUUUCCCAAGGUCCAGCUCAGGGUCAUGGGGUGGUUGCAGGUGGGGGUUGGGCGCUGUUGUUGAUGGUGGGAGAGGAGGCAGGUGCCACAAGACGCAGGUGUGCCUCUCCUGGAGCAGACCCCACACAGAACUGACUUGGCGUCGUUUAUUCACCGCCGGAUGUUGGCGGAGCAUCUGCUGAGUGUGGCAGAGCCCCUCAGGCCCUGGCUGCGGCAGCGAAUCAGGCACGGUAUCCCUCCCUCCCCGAGCUAAGUGAAGCUCUGCUGUGCUUUGAGGCUGUGCUUGGGUUUAGGGCAGUGCUUGCUGACAGAGGACACAUCCAGGGGCCCAUACUCUCCCCUGCCUGGCCCUGGCACAGACCAAGAAACAUGAGGUGGAAAGGUUGGCAGUCAGGCUAAACAGUGAUUCUAAGCAUUUUUUUUUUCCUGGAAGUAGAUUGUUUCUGCUAGGCAAUAUAAUCUGCUAAUGUGACAGUUUCCCUGUAACAAUGUGUAGCAAAACUCUGCAGGAUUAAUGAGAAGAAUGUAUUGCCUUUGAAGCAGCACCACUUGAGUAAAAAUUCCUCAAAUGUGCUCUAUGUUAUGCUAGUGUAAGUAUAGCACCGGAGGAUAUUUCUUGGGCCUACUUUGCAAGCCUCUGAGAGGUGCUGUGCAGCUCCGACCAUGAACUGCUCUCCUAAUUGAAGAGGGUCCCAGGAAGGGGAAGGGCACUAUGGCCUCCAUUCUACCCAGGGAGAUUGGGUGAAUAUCUGGCAUGUAAUUAAGUGCUAGCUCAGGUCGGGCUGUUUCUGGCAUAUAGGGUAGCCAGCGGUCAGGGGAGCCUGGAGUGGGGUUGCAGUGGACUGGGGAGGCCCCCAGUGUCACAGAUCUCCCAGGGACUGCGUGCUCCUCGAGGAAGGGGCCUGCUGCGAUGGGUGAGGACCUUAGGAGCUGCCCGGGUGACUCCUGGAAGGAGUGACUGCAUCUGGCGUUGACCAGGUUGAGCCUUGCUGCCUCCUCCUCCCUGGACGGUUCCCAGUGCCUGUCAGGACAUCUCGUGUUGGUGAGCAGAGCCAUACAGGACUUGCUCCUUGCUUCCUUCCUGAAACGCUUACUGUGUCCCUGCUGCCUGGGCGGAGUCUUGCUGUUGGGCUGGCGGAGCCUCCUCCCUGGUGGUUGGUCAUUGUGAGGGAUUUGGCUCUGGCCCUCUCCCUGACUCCAUGUGUGCUUCAGGGACAUUUCCGGAGGAGGCAAAGCUUGUGUGGGGUUUGCUUGGCAGAGACGAUCCUCAGAUGCUGGGGUGAGGACCACAGCCUCAUGGAGGCGGGAGCCCCGUCCCAGGGCCCAGCCCUGAGCAGUCAGAGGAGUGCCAGGCUGUCCGGCCGCUCCCUGUCUCCCUGCAUGAGGCCUGUCCUCACCGCCUGCUGCUGUGUGUGUGGUGGGAGGAUGCGCCCCUGGAUUUAAGCAGAGUCCCUGCCCCACAGUGCCCCCUGCAUUCGUCUCACUGCACCCUGAGGCCAGUCCUUUGACUCCUUGUCCUGCAGUUUCCCAUCAAGGUGGUCCAGUGGUGCCAGCCGCUCGCGUCAAGGAGAGAGCUCCAAGGGCACCAUGCUGCUGGCCCGGCCUUGCUGGCCCGGCUGGGCCUUCUGUAGGGAAGGCCACAGAGCCCUGUCCCAGAGGCCUCCUCCUGGUAGGCACCCAGCCUGGUGUCAGCCUGGGGAACAUGUGCUGGAGCGCAGGAUGCUUGGAUGCUUUUUAAUAAGAAUCCAUUCUUGCUGUGACUGCUGCACGCACAGGACAGCUUCACUCGCCCUUGCAGGUGCAUCCUCCAGGGCCAAGGGGUCUGCAGCAGGCAGGCGGCCUCUGUCUUCCUGAGACUCCUCAGAUGAAGUUGGAGCUGCCAGUGCCUUGCUGUGAGCAGUCACACUUCCUGUUCACCAUCUCCCUGUCAUCUUCUGGUUUCUCCUGCACCUCAGGGAGUGGAUUGCCCCAACUUCACACGCCAGGAAUCGCUGGCGCUGUCCACGGUGCUGGCACUGGUGCCAGUUCCUGCAGCUCUGGUAGUCCGGGAGAGAUGUCUGUGUGUAGGUGUGGGUCUGUGAGCUUGUGUGUGCAUAUUGUCAAUGUGCAUGCAUGUAUGUGUGCCGCUGUUCCUAUGUGUGCACGUGUCUGUGUAUGCCUUUGUGCACACGUGUCUGGUGUAUGUGUGCAUGCAUGUCUGUGUGCAUCUGUGCAGGUGUGUGUGGUGUGUAUCUGUGCAUGCAUGUGUGUGCCUUUGUGGUGUGCGUGUGUGUAUGUGUAUGUGUACGUGUGUGCAUGUGUAUGUGCCUGAGUGGUGUAUGUGUGUGCAUGCAUGUGUGUGCCUGUGUGGUGUGCGUGUGUGUAUGUGUAUGUGUACGUGUGUGCAUGUGUAUGUGCCUGUGUGGUGUAUGUAUGUGUGUUUUGCAUGUGGUCUGUGUGUACAUGCAUGUCUGGGAUGUGUGUGUACAUGUGUGUGCAUGUGUAUCUGUGUACAUACGUAUGUGCCUGUGUGGUGUCUGUGUCUGUGCAUGUGUGGUGUGUGUCCAUGUGUCCAUGUUCAUGUAUGUGUGUAUGUGUACAUGUGUCUGUGUGUGGUGUGCGUGUACAUGCAUAUCUGUUUGCCUGUGUGUGCCUGUGUGUGUACAUGUGUGUGCCUGUGUAUGAUGUGCCUGUGUACACGUCUGUGUGUGGCACUUGUGUACAUGUGUGUCUGUGUGUUCACCUGUGUCUAUGUGCAUGCAUGUGUGCCUGUGUGUGUAUGUGUGUGCGCCUGUGUGUCUUGUGCCUGUGUACACGUGUCUGUGUGUGGUGUGUGUGUACAUGAGUGUCUGGCUGUUUGCCUAUGUAUAUGUGCAUGCAUGUGUGCCUGUGUGUGUAUGUGUGUGCACCUGUGUGUUGUGUGCCUGUGUACACGUGUCUGCCUGUGGCAUGGGUGUACAUGUGUGUCUGUGUGUUUUCCUGUGUGUCUAUGCAUGCAUGUGCGCCUGUGUAUGCAUGUGCGCCUGUGUGUUGUGUGCCUGCAUACACGUGUCUGCGUGUGGCGUGUUUGUACAUGCGUGUCUGUGUGUGUCCUUGUGUGGUGUGUGCAUCUCCCAGCUGUACCCUGCAACUUGCCUGUGAUACCUGCCUCUCCCUUGGAGUCCCAGAGCUGAAGAUGCUGGCUCAGAUUUGUUUCCAUUGGAAAGAGGCCCCUUUUUCUUCUUACAGCAUGGCGUUGGUCUGGUUGGGUGCCUGGUGACUCUGUUGGGGCCGACUUUCAUUCUGGCCCCGUGUGUGGGACUGUGUGCAGAACUGGACAGGAGUCAUUGCUGUGCUGCAGGAGAAGUGGGGCUGUGUUCAUUGACACAUGUGGCUUUGACAUUUUCUACUCAGAUGUGGUAGAAUCCUUCCUCCAGAACAGGAGUUGGCACCUCUUUUCCCAUCUUCAAGGAAGGACAACGUGCUCAGGAGCGCUUCCCAAGUGAAUGACUGAAUGAAUGAACGAAGGAGGGGAGAGAAGAAGGAAGGAAUCAGCCUCAUGGAACAGGGAGGUUUAGAGAAUCCUGGCAAAGGAAGAGGCGCCGUGCCAGCCAGGUCCUGCGGGAGUGUUGGUGCAUGGUGAGGUUGGGGGGUGAGGGUCGGCCCCAGCAGGGAAGGGCAGGUGCAGGGAUGGCAAGGCCAGAGCACGUGGGGAUGAAGAGAUGCGGUACUGCGACGGCUGGAGGAGGGUUGCAGGAGCUGCUCAGACAUGGGGGCAGCUGCAGUCUCGGCUGCUUGCAGGUUGGGAGAGAGUCGUGCUUGGUGUACAGCUGGAGAGGGAAGUGGGCCGAGGAGGUGGUGGAUGCCCAAUGUGCCCAUCCCUGACGGCUGGCGCCUCAGUGCACAGCAGGCCUAGGUCUCGAUGGGGAUGGCCACCGAGGUCAGUCCUGCUGGGCUGCUGCCUCAGAGCUCACUCUACUAAUGCUCAGGUGGCUCAUCUGUAAAGUGGGCGGCAGCACCGUGAGGACCCAGCCAGGUGACCGAUCACAUGCAAGGUUCUGAUGGAGUCACAAGCUGGUCACUGCCGCUGGUCCUGUCCGCUGGGUGCAGUAGACACGGAGGUAGGGGACCCUUGUGCCUGUGAGAACAGAGCAGACAGGAAGCCGGAGAGGACAGCAGGCACGGAAGCCGGAGGGGACAGCAGGCACGGAAGCCGGAGGGGACAGCAGACAGGAAGCCGGAGGGGUCAGCAGGCACGGAGGCUGGAGGGGACAGCAGACAAGAAGCCAGAGAGGACAGCAGACAGGAAGCCGGAGGGGACAGCAGGUACAGAAGCCGGAGGGGUCAGCAGCAGCUUGCUGAACGGCCUUCCCAAUGACCUCUCAGCGUGUUUUAGCCCAGCCUUGUUUUGGUGAGAAACUGACUCCGAGAACUGAGUGGGCUGCUCUGAGGUCCCGCCCCCGUCGGGGCAGUGCCGGCCUCUCCGGAAGCCCCUGGGCUGCUCGCAUCCCGCUGGGUGUGUUUACCAGUGCUUAAUGAAAACUAUUGCAGCCGCCCGUGAAGGUAAGGUGUUUGUGAACGCUUCGUGAUACGACAAAUGCUGGUUAAAAAACUACAAGGAGAAACUCUGGGCAAAGUUUGCGUGGAAUAUUUUCUUUCUUCUCCUUUUUUAUUUGUAGAGAUCGGAUCUCACUAUGUUGUCCGGGCUGGUUCUCCAGUAAUCCUCCUGACGCAGCAUCCUGAGCAGCUGGCCUGCAGGUGCCCGGCUUUCUUCUUUGUUGAAGGGUUAGAGUUCCAGUAGAAAAUGAUCAUUUGGUGUAUUUUCACCUCCUACGUGAGGAUCCCAUGUCAGAUCGGUCAUGGCGUGAGGUUCUGGUGAUGUCCCAUUUGAGGAUUAUUUCUGGUUUGGUGUCGAGCACUUGUUUUUUGUUUUUUCUUUUUGAUAUUUCAGAAAGCUUGCCCACUUCUGCUUAAGUAUUAGCCAAUUAUUUUUCCAUUUGUCAUUCUGUUACGAAACUCCUCAAGAAUCUACUACUCAUUGAAUUAACAUACUGAGCUUUUCUUUCUUGUGAAGUGAUGUAAUUCUAUUACCAGUUUAUUCCUUUAUUUCUAGAUUAUAGUCAAAGGCUAAAUACCUUGCCUCAUUAUAGGGAUAAAAUGAAAAAAAAAUCCCACAGUGAUUAUCAUUUUAAAGAAAGCUGUGGCUGGGCCAGCAUAUUUUCAGCAGGCAUUUAACUUAGUUUUUACUGAAAAAAGAAAAUUGAAACAAUCAGAUUUCCAGAAAAUACAAUAACCCUAAUAAAUGUUAAAUUUAAAAUGCCUAUUACAAUGAGACAGGCAGAUGUAGGAUGAAAAAGAGAUCAGCUAGAGCUGCUGUUCACUGAGAGAGCAGAAUUUGGUAUUUUCUCUAAACUGAUGAAAUAAUGUGGUUUGUGUGUGUUUUGUGGUUUUAGUGGAAAUGUUUUGAGAGAUUUCUCUAAUAUGACAGGUGAAGGAGGCAGGGAGCAAGCACCUCCAAGCUGGCCAUGGUGGAAAUUUCUACUAAUGAUUAUUUCUUGUUUGAAAAUCUAAUCACUUUUCUGUUUGUAAGUCUAUUAAGUGGAAACUAAAAAGGAAUGUUAUAAACUGA